rnacentral:lncRNA from 1 species
AUUAAAUCUUAGAAACAAAAAUCUAACAUUCAAAGAAUUUCUCGACCAGAAUCAACAUGAAAUCUACCAUUUAUGCUAUGAUUCAAAAUGUUGUCUGUGUCACACUUCACCACCUAGAGGAAAACGAGUCAUAUAUCCUUCUCAGUUGGAAUUAUUGUUUGAUAAACACAACAAGUUUUCUACUCACACGGCAACAAACUGUACCGACUUCUGCUGCAGUAAUUCAAAAGUUAAUAUCACAACAGAAGUUUUAGAUAUAUCACUUGCAAGAUGUUUGUUAGUGAAUUGUUGUUUAGAUGUAUUUUGG